UACAGAGGUCCCAAGCGUUGUUCGGAUUCAUUGGGCGUAAAGGGUGCGUAGGCGGCGCGGUAAGUCGGGUGUGAAAUCUCGGAGCUUAACUCCGAAACUGCAUUCGAUACUGCCGUGCUUGAGGACUGGAGAGGAACUGGAAUUUACGGUGUAGCGGUGAAAUGCGUAGAUAUCGUAAGGAAGACCAGUGGCGAAGGCGGGUCUCUGGACAGUUCCUGACGUGAGGCACGAAGGCCAGGGAGCAAACGGG
rnacentral:rRNA from 1 species